AGUCAACAUGCCCAGGGGACGUGGAUAACCUCGGGAAACUGAGGAUAAACCGCGAUAGGUCACUACUUCUGGAAUGGGUAAUGACCCAAACCUAUAUGGCCCCUGGAUUGGACUGCGGCCGAUCAGGCUGUUGGUGAGGUAAUGGCCCACCAAACCUGUAACCGGUACGGGCUCUGAGAGGAGGAGCCCGGAGAUGGGCACUGAGACAAGGGCCCAGGCCCUAUGGGGCGCAGCAGGCGCGAAACCUCUGCAAUAGGCGAAAGCUUGACAGGGUUACUCUGAGUGAUUUCCGUUAAGGAGAUCUUUUGGCACCUCUAAAAAUGGUGCAGAAUAAGGGGUGGGCAAGUCUGGUGUCAGCCGCCGCGGUAAUACCAGCACCCCGAGUGGUCGGGACGUUUAUUGGGCCUAAAGCAUCCGUAGCCGGUUCCACAAGUCUUCCGUUAAAUUCACCUGCUCAACAGAUGGGCUGCGGAAGAUACUAUGGAGCUAGGAGGCGGGAGAGGCAAGCGGUACUCGAUGGGUAGGGGUAAAAUCCGUUGAUCCAUUGAAGACCACCAGUGGCGAAGGCGGCUUGCCAGAACGCGCUCGACGGUGAGGGAUGAAAGCUGGGGGAGCAAACCGGAUUAGAUACCCGGGUAGUCCCAGCUGUAAACGAUGCAGACUCGGUGAUGAGUUGGCUUUAUGCCAACUCAGUGCCGCAGGGAAGCCGUUAAGUUUGCCGCCUGGGGAGUACGGUCGCAAGACUGAAACUUAA
rnacentral:rRNA from 1 species